rnacentral:rRNA from 1 species
AACGUAGGAGACAAACGUUAUCCGGAGUUACUGGGCGUAAAGGGCGUGUAGGUGGUUUCGUAAGUCUGGCGUGAAAUUUUUCGGCUUAACCGGGAAAGGUCGUCGGAUACUGCAGAACUAGAGGACGGUAGAGGCGUGUGGAAUUCCGAGUGUAGAGGUGAAAUUCGUAGAUAUUCGGAAGAACACCAGUGGCGAAGGCGACUCACUGGACACGUAUUGACGCUGAGGUGCGGAAGCGUGGGGAGCAAACAGG